GUAGGUGAACCUGCGGAAGGAUCAUUAACACGUAUCCAAACGUUAAACCCCCCUGUGCAUCUUAAUCCUGCUCGCUUUCGCCUUGACAAAGCAAUCUCUGGUAAAUCAUCGCCCAAACAGUGUUGAUUCAGAGACCUCUUUCGAAACACGAAUCCAUGGAGCGGCAGAUCAAUAGGCUUGGCUUCCAACGGAGGGAGGAUAACUUGGGAACAACCAAGGUCGUUGGCUUACACGGUCAACGGACAAGUCU
rnacentral:misc_RNA from 1 species